AGCUCCAAUAGCGUAUAUUAAAGUUGUUGCAGUUAAAAAGCUCGUAGUUGGAUCUCGGGUCCAGGCUUGCGGUCCGACGCACGUCGGUUACUGCUCGUCCUGACCUACCUCCCGGUUUGCCCUUGGUGCUCUUGACUGAGUGUCUCGGGUGGCCGGAACGUUUACUUUGAAAAAAUUAGAGUGUUCAAAGCAGGCAAUUCGCCUGAAUAAUGGUGCAUGGAAUAAUGGAAUAGGACCUCGGUUCUAUUUUGCUGGUUUUCGGAGCUUGAGGUAAUGAUUAAGAGGGACGGACGGGGGCAUUCGUAUUACGGUGUUAGAGGUGAAAUUCUUGGAUCGCCGUAAGACGAACUACUGCGAAAGCAUUUGCCAAGAAUGUUU
rnacentral:rRNA from 1 species